GUGAGACGCCAUCCCUGGGUUUGCUCGGUGUUGAAUCCUACUCCCAACUAAAUGACAUUGAUUAUUAAACUGAACUGAACUGGACUGAGUUUCAUUGAGUUCUGUAACUGACUGAGUACUACUGUUCGUGACAUCACUGACACUAUUCUAUAGCUACUGUAAUUCUAGGUAAACAACUAGAUUUUGGGUAUUAAAUACCCCAGGACUCGAUAGCAUCAAUAGUAAAUA
rnacentral:lncRNA from 1 species